CCGGAUCUUUUGCCUUUGGAGACUGUGCUUAAAGAAGUUGGAGAAAGAUUGUAUGGAAAAAGUCAGCAGAGGUGAAUGCAGAAGGGAUGGAAGUACGCCGUGGAUCUCCUUUGCAGCAACAAGUUCACAUUGGUAUUACUAAGUAAUCUCUGGAAGGCUGGGUGAAAAGGAGACUAAAAGGGUUAUUAAAGAUGUUAGAAAUAAGAAGCAGGAAAGAGAAGAAAGGAGAAAAAAGGAAGGUAAAAAAAAGAAGCUGAGAAGCAGGAAGGAAGAAACCAAGAAAUGGAAGUACAAAGAAAAAAAGAAUGUGAGAAUACGCGAAAGAAGAAUGUAAAUUAGGAGUUAAGAUGGAAAGAGAAUUAGGCAUAGGCACAGGUAUAGAUAUAGGCAGGGGUGUAGUGUGAUGCAGGGG